UACAGAGGUCUCAAGCGUUGUUCGGAUUCAUUGGGCGUAAAGGGUGUGUAGGUGGCGCGCUAAGUCGGGUGUGAAAUUUUCGGAGCUUAACUCCGAAACUGCAUUCGAUACUGGCGUGCUUGAGGACUGGAGAGGAGACUGGAAUUCAUGGUGUAGCAGUGAAAUGCGUAGAGAUCAUGAGGAAGACCAGUGGCGAAGGCGGGUCUCUGGACAGUUCCUGACACUGAGACACGAAGGCCAGGGGAGCAAACGGG
rnacentral:rRNA from 1 species